GCGAGAGGUCCCGUCCGCCCCAGCCGCGUCUGGGCCAGGAGGAAAG
rnacentral:antisense_RNA from 1 species